rnacentral:rRNA from 1 species
CCCUUAGAUGUUCUGGGCCGCACGCGUGCUACACUGAGUGGAUCAGCGGGUCAGGUUACGCGAGAGCGUUUCCUAAUCUUCAAACCCGCUCGUGAUGGGGAUUGACGGUUGCAAUUUUCCGUCAUGAACGAGGAAUACCUUGUAAGCGCGGGUCAUCAUCCCGCGCUGAAUACGUCCCUGCCCUUUGUACACACCGCCCGUCGCUCCUACCGAUUGAGUGGUCCGGUGAGGCUUUGGGAUCUAAGCGAAAAGAGCGUUUCGCUCCUUUUGCUGGGAGAACUCAGUCGAACCUUAUCAUUUAGAGGAAGGAGAAGUCGUAACA